CAGGCGCAGCGCCCCUACCGCCCGCUUUUCUCCCUCCUUCUCCUCCUCCUCCUUCCCCCAGCCACCAGCGCAGUCACAACCGGUUCAGACUGGCCAGGGUGCCCGGCAAAGAAGAGAAACAAGGGGAAAAAACUGGGGGGAAAACUUCGCAGGGAGGAGGAAGAGAAGAAAAAAGGUGGAGCCCAAAGGAGAGGGCAGGCUCCCCAGCUCCAUGUGGCCGCCGCCGCCGCAGGUUUCAGCGGGGGCAGAGGGCGGCGGCCCCCGGGACAAGGCGUAGCGGGACGGAUUGCCCAAUACAGCUGCAGGGGCCGGGUCUCGGGAUAAAUAGCCGCCCGGCCAGGAGCUGCAGGGGAGAGUGGCAGCCGCGGUCCCUACCCUACCGCACCAUCUGCCCGGCCUGCGCCGGGUGCUGCGCCCCGGAGCCCCCUCCGAGGCCGGUACUCAGUGAGCUUUAUUCAUAGAAUGCAGGAGAGUGUAGAAGGCCUGUG
rnacentral:lncRNA from 1 species